AUGAAUAUGUAUUUUAUCGAUAGUAUCGUUUAAGAAACCGGAUAAUAUAUUUGACCUCAUUGCGUCACUUUAAUUAUGCAGAUUUAUGCACGACGCUACUACACUCGCACAAACUGAGAAGAGUUAGUUCAUUGAGAAUGGAUUGAAACUGAUGAAGAGCUGGAAGGAGUUAACUGAUGAGUGGACAUUACAACAUUUCUUAUAUUUGCAAGAUGAAGCAGAAAGUGCCAUGCAGGAUGAUGCUUUUCUACAGUGGAUGAUGAAGGCAUGCUGGUUACAAACCCAGGAGAGGAACAAAAAACCAGAUAUUGACCGGAUCAUAUCUAGAGAUGCGGGCCUACUAUACACUUCAUACGAGCAAGUGUGCUAAUAUACAAUAUUUGGGUUAUCAUUACAGCCCUUUCUUCUGAAAACUAGGCUACAACUGUAUUGAUGAAUGCAGGAGACAUCUACAUGGGACUACGUCUUAAGGAUGCCACCCUCAUAUAAUGAAAGAGGACAGUAGAGAUGGGUUUAAAUUUGAAUAUUUACAUGAUAUUUAUUUAUUA